rnacentral:rRNA from 1 species
UACGUAGGUGGCAAGCGUUGUCCGGAUUUACUGGGCGUAAAGGGCGUGCAGGCGGUUCGUUAAGUCUAGGGUGAAAGCUCCCGGCUCAACUGGGAGAGGUCCUUGGAUACUGGCGGACUUGAGGGGAGUAGAGGAGAGUGGAAUUCUCGGUGUAGUGGUGAUAUGCGUAGAUAUCGAGAGGAACACCAGUGGCGAAGGCGGCUCUCUGGGCUCUACCUGACGCUGAGACGCGAAAGCGUGGGGAGCGAACCGG